rnacentral:rRNA from 1 species
UCUAUAGCCUCUGGGACAAGCCCUGGAAACGGGGUCUAAUACCGGAUACUGACCCGCUUGGGCAUCCAAGCGGUUCGAAAGCUCCGGCGGUGCAGGAUGAGCCCGCGGCCUAUCAGCUUGUUGGUGAGGUAAUGGCUCACCAAGGCGACGACGGGUAGCCGGCCUGAGAGGGCGACCGGCCACACUGGGACUGAGACACGGCCCAGACUCCUACGGGAGGCAGCAGUGGGGAAUAUUGCACAAUGGGCGAAAGCCUGAUGCAGCGACGCCGCGUGAGGGAUGACGGCCUUCGGGUUGUAAACCUCUUUCAGCAGGGAAGAAGCGAAAGUGACGGUACCUGCAGAAGAAGCGCCGGCUAACUACGUGCCAGCAGCCGCGGUAAUACGUAGGGCGCGAGCGUUGUCCGGAAUUAUUGGGCGUAAAGAGCUCGUAGGCGGCUUGUCACGUCGGUUGUGAAAGCCCGGGGCUUAACCCCGGGUCUGCAGUCGAUACGGGCAGGCUAGAGUUCGGUAGGGGAGAUCGGAAUUCCUGGUGUAGCGGUGAAAUGCGCAGAUAUCAGGAGGAACACCGGUGGCGAAGGCGGAUCUCUGGGCCGAUACUGACGCUGAGGAGCGAAAGCGUGGGGGAGCGAACAGGAUUAGAUACCCUGGUAGUCCACGCCGUAAACGGUGGGCACUAGGUGUGGGCGACAUUCCACGUCGUCCGUGCCGCAGCUAACGC